rnacentral:rRNA from 1 species
AGAACGCAGCGAAAUGCGAUACGUAGUGUGAAUUGCAGAAUUCCGCGAAUCAUUGAGUUUUUGAACGCAAGUUGCGCCCGAGGCUCGUCCGAGGGCAUUUCCGUUAGAGCGUCACC